rnacentral:rRNA from 1 species
AUUGAACGCUGGCGGCAGGCCUAACACAUGCAAGUCGAGCGGAUGAUGGGAGCUUGCUCCUGGAUUCAGCGGCGGACGGGUGAGUAAUGCCUAGGAAUCUGCCUGGUAGUGGGGGACAACGGUUCGAACGGAACGCUAAUACCGCAUACGUCCUACGGGAGAAAGCAGGGGACCUUCGGGACUUGCGCUAUCAGAUGAGACGAGGUCGGAUUAGCUUGUUGGUGAGGUAAUGGCUCACCAAGGCGACGAUCCGUAACUGGUCUGAGAGGAUGAUCAGUCACACUGGAACUGAGACACGGUCCAGACUCCUACGGGAGGCAGCAGUGGGGAAUAUUGGACAAUGGGCGAAAGCCUGAUCCAGCCAUGCCGCGUGUGUGAAGAAGGUCUUCGGAUUGUAAAGCACUUUAAGUUGGGAGGAAGGGUUGUAGAUUAAUACUCUGCAAUUUUGACGUUACCGACAGAAUAAGCACCGGCUAACUCUGUGCCAGCAGCCGCCGUAACAC